UCCCUGGUGGCUCAGAGGGUAAAGCGUCUGCCUGCAGUGCAGGAGACCCAGGUUCAAUCCCUGCAUCGGGAA
rfam:Ovis aries breed Texel chromosome 9, whole genome shotgun sequence.